rnacentral:sRNA from 1 species
GUGGCUUGCUGGCCCUUGCAAAUCAGUGGCUCUCCCUCUUUAAACCAAGUUGGACGCCAGAUGGGAGUCAGGGCUAAAGGUCAACCAGCCAGCCUCUUUUGCAGUCAGCCUGAACGGGGCCAAGGGGGCGAUCGAUGCCAAGGUGCACAGCCCCUCAGGAGCCCUGGAGGAGUGCUAUGUCACAGAAAUUGACCAAGAUAAGUAUGCUGUGCGCUUCAUCCCUCGGGAGAAUGGCGUUUACCUGAUUGACGUCAAGUUCAACGGCACCCACAUCCCUGGAAGCCCCUUCAAGAUCCGAGUUGGGGAGCCUGGGCAUGGAGGGGACCCAGGCUUGGUGUCUGCUUACGGAGCAGGUCUGGAAGGCGGUGUCACAGGGAACCCAGCUGAGUUCGUCGUGAACACGAGCAAUGCGGGAGCUGGUGCCCUGUCGGUGACCAUUGACGGCCCCUCCAAGGUGAAGAUGGAUUGCCAGGAGUGCCCUGAGGGCUACCGCGUCACCUAUACCCCCAUGGCACCUGGCAGCUACCUCAUCUCCAUCAAGUACGGCGGCCCCUACCACAUUGGGGGCAGCCCCUUCAAGGCCAAAGUCACAGGCCCCCGUCUCGUCAGCAACCACAGCCUCCACGAGACAUCAUCAGUGUUUGUAGACUCUCUGACCAAGGCCACCUGUGCCCCCCAGCAUGGGGCCCCGGGUCCUGGGCCUGCUGACGCCAGCAAGGUGGUGGCCAAGGGCCUGGGGCUGAGCAAGGCCUACGUAGGCCAGAAGAGCAGCUUCACAGUAGACUGCAGCAAAGCAGGCAACAACAUGCUGCUGGUCGGGGUUCAUGGCCCAAGGACCCCCUGCGAGGAGAUCCUGGUGAAGCACGUGGGCAGCCGGCUCUACAGCGUGUCCUACCUGCUCAAGGACAAGGGGG